UUAUUUUAAUUCUUUCAAAUUACUUCCCAACCCUAGCCGCCCCCUUCCCCCCCAUUCGUGACUUCUGCUUGGUCUCCCUCUCACAGUGUCGGCCUCCUGUCUCCCUGAAAGUCUCGGUCUCUCUAAUCUCUAUCAGUUCAGUCACAACUCACGCCUCAGUUUUGCCUCAGUUCAGUCCCUGACUUUUGCAGCUCUUCCACUUCAGUUUUGCCUCUAGAACUCUCUCCCAAUCAUCCCAGAACUUCAAGUUCCAGUACCACAAGCAGCCUCUCCUUUUUGGCCCCAUCUCUGUCCACCUCAUCUAGUACAGUAAGUUCUCUUUGUCACCUAUUUCAUCACCUCCCUCUCCUCCUCCAAUCCCUCCACAACCCCACCCUCCGUCGCCAUAUGGUAGAAAACCAUUCAGAAAUUCUACAACCCCUCGGUCUCCCUCUUAGAGUCUCGGUCUCCCUCAACUCACCAUGAUCGACUCCUCACUGGGAUCUAGUCUUCACUUUGACUAGUGACAAUGAAACAGGAAGGCGCAAGCCAACCAGUCCGUCUCUCCCAUCUCAGCUGCAAUGGAUCAUAAAACUUCUAUUACAUUACCAUCCCAGACUGUUGGUGGAAGGUCUCAAGCUGCUUCAACCCCUCUUCAAACACCCCGUCUGUUUUGGAUGAUUUUACUUGAUUUGGAUUAUUUUUGAAUGAUUUUAAUGUGCCAAAAUGUAGAAUUAUAAGAUAUAAUUUUUAGGUGUGGAUAAAAUUUUUUUGCCCAUAACAUGAGGGCAAGGCAUCACUCUUUGGGUAAUAAAGCCUGCCCUGCCCAGCCUUACCCAUGCCCUGUCCAAAAUGAUUAGGGCAUUUAUGGCCAGACAUCAGGCAGGAGCCCAACCCUGUUCAUGUGCAUCCUUACAUUGGAAUAUGCUUUUUUAAAAAAAAAAAAAUCAAAACUGAAUAUUAUUCCUAUUAAAAAGUGUCAAUUUUUUGUUCUA